UAUGUGAUCGUCUCUCGCAUAUCAAUAAGCGGAGGAAAAGAAACUAACAAGGAUUCCCCUAGUAACGGCGAGUGAAGCGGGAAGAGCUCAAAUUUGAAAUCUUAAAGGGUUUCCCUUUACGAAUUGUAGUUUAAAGAAGUGUUUUCUGUUGAGGUUUUGGUAAAAGUUCUUUGGAAUAGGACAUCAUAGAGGGUGAGAAUCCCGUAUUUGACCUUUACUUUCAACUUUGUGAUACACUUUCAAAGAGUCGGAUUGUUUGGGAAUGCAGUCCAAAAUGGGUGGUAAAUUUCAUCUAAAGCUAAAUAUUGGCGAGAGACCGAUAGCGAACAAGUACCGUGAGGGAAAGAUGAAAAGAACUUUGAGAAGAGAGUUAAACAGUACGUGAAAUUGUCAAAAGGGAAGCGUUUGACACCAGUGUUGUUUUUCUGAAAAUCAAUUAAAGAACUGUUUAUGCUAAGCUGUUUAGACUUUAUCAGCUAUCUGUUUAGUUUUGAGCUUUUCUUUAAUGCACUUUUCAGUUAACAAGUCAACAUCAAUUUCUUUUGCUGUAAAAAAGCUUGAGGAAGGUGGCUUGAGAUUCGUCUUAAGUGUUUAUAGCCUCUUGCCUAUGCAGUCGGAGAGAUUGAGGUCUGCAGCGUAGAUCCUUCGGGGCUAAAUGCAUUUGUGCUAAGUUAUAGCAUUUUAUAGACAACUUGUUGACUAUGAUUUGUCUUGUAGCUUACUCGCUUAUGUUAUUUUACCUACGCUUAGGAUGUUGAAGACUCUACAGAGAUA
rnacentral:rRNA from 1 species